rnacentral:rRNA from 1 species
GACGAACGCUGGCGGCGUGCUUAACACAUGCAAGUCGAACGGAAAGGUCCGGCUGUUGCGGGGUGCUCGAGUGGCGAACGGGUGAGUAACACGUGAGUAAACUGCCCCUGACUGUGUGAUAACAUCAGGAAACUGGGGCUAAUACCGGAUAGGAGCUCCUGCUGCAUGGGGGGGGUUGGAGAGUUUCGGCGGUUGGAGAUGGACUCGCGGCUUAUCAGCUUGUUGGUGGGGUAGUGGCUGACCAAGGCUUUGAGGGGUAGCCGGCCUGGGAGGGUGGCCGGCCUCAUUGCGCCUGGGGUACGGCACAGCCUCGAACGGGACGCAGCGGUGGAGAGUAUUACACAGUGGGCGGGAGCCAGAGGUGGCACCGCCGCGUGCGGAAUGACGUGCUUCGGGUAGUAAACCACUUUCGCCUGUGCCGAGGCGUUAGUGACGGUACCGGGUAAAGAAGCACCGGCUAACUACGUG